rfam:Selenomonas sputigena ATCC 35185, complete genome.
CUGAGCAUCUGGGCAAUCGCGGGCAUUUCGCCUGAGGAAAGUCCGGGCUUCAGAGGGCAGCGUGCUGGAUAACGUCCAGCGGGGGCAACCCUAGGGAAAGUGCCAUAGAGACUUAGACCGCCGCAUGGCAUAAGCCGUGUUGGCAAGGGUGGAAAGGUGCGGUAAGAGCGCACCAGCAGUCAGGUGACUGGCUGGCUAGGCAAACCCCACGCGAAGCAAGACCGAAUAGGGAAGGGAUGAGGCGGCCCGCCGACCUUCCGGGUAGCGUCGCUUGAGCCGUCCGGCAACGGGCGGUCCAGAUAAAUGAUUGCCACUGCCGUAAGGCAGCACAGAACCCGGCUUAUAGGACGCCCAGCGAG